rnacentral:lncRNA from 1 species
GCAGAUUGGAAGGCUUUGACGAGACCCACACCGCAAAUGGCUCCAAGACACUGAGCCACCAUGUACAAUAUUGCUCGGAUCAGCGACACCUUCCGGGCCAGGAACAGCCCAAAGGUCACCGCCGGGUUAAUGUGUCCCCCUGCGCAUUUUACAGAACUAUCGGUCAGCAUGUGCUACCUUGCGCCAUGCCAUUUACAUUAAGAUGAAUCUUUUGAUUUAAGGAAAAACCAUGAGAAAGGGGAAAGAGUAAAUCAAUUUCAUCUCAUUUAUUCUAAAUUUUUAGCAUGAAAAGAAUCAAAACUUUCUGGGUGGGAAGGAAAUUACAUAAAGCUGAUUGAAAAAGUAGUUUUUUUAAGAGAAGGUUCUCCAUCACGAUCGGAGAAAGAGACCCAUACCAUCUGUUUGGUGAGAAGGAAAACUAGAAAAAGGAUAACAGAAGUAAAAAAUUUAUGCUUAUUUUUCGGUUUGGGGCCCAAAGGAAGGGGUAAGGCAACUCCGGCCAAUAGUUGAGUUGAAGCUUUUUACACUUUAGGAAACAAAGCCAACACUAUUUUCCAAUUAUUUCUCAGAAACCAAACGUCAACUCCAUCAACUACCUCCUUCAAGUGAACCUUUCCAGCAGAAUUAUUUAUCAAGGGAAAAAAAGGACCAAAAAGAAAGAAAGGAAAGAAAGGAAAAAAAGCUAUGAAGUUCUAACAGAUCCUUUCUUUCUUUCCCUUUUUUUUUUAACUUCACAAAGAAAUGGUCAUAACAAUAAAUGAAUCCUUGAAAGAGAAAGACAAAGAGGGAAAAAGAGAGAAAGAAAACCAGUUUUCUAACUGAUGUUUUCAGGGUUUUUUUUUCUUUUCUUUUUUUUUUUUUUGUUCUCGAGAAUCAAAAAGAGUGCAUGAAAACAAAAGAAAAAAGAACAACCCAGAAGAGAGAAAACUGACCAGAAAUGCCGGCAGUGCAGUAAACAAGGAUAAAGAUCAUGCCACCAAAAGACCAAGCAAUGCCCAGAAUGCCAACACCACCGCAUGGGUCACCCCCGGCAGUCUGGCUCUUGUAGCCGAUGACUGUCAGCACCGUAAUGUAAAGGAAGAGCAGC